rnacentral:rRNA from 1 species
CCUGACGCAGCGACGCCGCGUGUGUGAAGAAGGCCCGCGGGUUGUAAAGCACUUUUAGUGGGGAUGAAAAGUUCAGGGCUAAUACCCCUGGAUCUUGACCUAACCCACAGAAAAAGCACCGGCUAACUCUGUGCCAGCAGCCGCGGUAAUACAGAGGGUGCAAGCGUUAAUCGGAAUUACUGGGCGUAAAGCGUGCGUAGACGGUUACAUAAGUCGGGUGUGAAAGCCCCGGGCUCAACCUGGGAAUUGCAUUCGAGACUGCGUAGCUAGGGUGCGGAAGAGGGAAGCGGAAUUUCCGGUGUAGCGGUGAAAUGCGUAGAUAUCGGAAGGAACACCAGUGGCGAAAGCGGCUUCCUGGUCCAGCACCGACGUUCAGGCACGAAAGCGUGGGGAGCAAACAGGAUUAGAUACCCUGGUAGUCCACGCCUUAAACGAUGGGCACUAGACGUUGAAGGGGUAAGCCCUCCAGUGUCGUAGCUAACGCGCUAAGUGCCCCGCCUGGGGAGUACGGCCGCAAGGUUGAAACUCAAAUGAAUUGACGG